ensembl:lncRNA
UGGGUUAGUGUGAGCAUUGGGUUAGUGUGAGCAUUUCAUUGGGUUAGUGUGAGCAUUGGGUUAGUGUGAGCAUUGGGUUAGUGUGAGCAUUUCAUUGGGUUAGUGUGAGCAUUGGGUUAGUGUGAGCAUUGGGUUAGUGUGAGCAUUGGGUUAGUGUGAGCAUUGGGCUAGUGUGAGCAUUGGGUUAGUGUGAGCAUUUCAUUGGGCUAGUGUGAGCAUUUCAUUGGGCUUAUGUGAGCAUUGGGUUAGUGUGAGCAUUGGGUUAGUGUGAGUGGGUUAGUG